ACCUACUCGUGAUAACUUUCAAAUUCAGAGAAACCCUGGAAUAAAAAAUGGGCAAUCCUGAGCCAAAUCCUUUUUUCUGAAAAAAGGAUAGGUGCAGAGACUCGAUGGAAGCUGUUCUAACGAAUGGAGUUGAUUGCGUUGGUCGAAGAAUCGAAACUCUAGAGAUGAGCUUAUACACGAUAAAUAGGUAUACAUCAUACUAAUACUUACUAUAGCAAAGAUUCAUGAGAUCCGAAUAGGAAAAAUUGAAAAAAGAAUUGUGAAUCAAUUCCAAGUGGAAGGAAGGGUCGAAUAUUCACUGAUCAAAUGAAGAACUAACUAAUUAGACGAGAAUAAAGAUAGAGUCCCAUUCUACAUGUCAAUAUCAAUACUGACAACAAUGAAAUUUAUAGUAAAAGGAAAAUCCGUCGACUUUAGAAAUCGUGAGGGUUCAAGUCCCUCUAUCCCCAAGGCCAGUUUGACUUCCUAACUAUCCUUUAUACCCUUUUUCUUUUUCAGAGGUUCCAAAUUCGCUAUCCUUCUCAUUCCACUCUAGUCUUUCAUAAACACAAAAAUCGGCGGAGAAAUCUUUCUCUCUUAUCACAAGUCUUGUAAUAUAUUAUAUCCGAUAUACAUAUAAAUGAGCAUCUAUGAGCGAUGAAUCCUUAUUUGAUUUGUUGAUUUGAACUAUUCAAACAAAACAUAUCCUUAUUUUUGAUUUUUGACGAAACAUCCUUCAAUGAAAUGAAACUUCACUCAUUGAAGUUUCAUUUCAUUGACAUAGGCCAAGCCCUUUAGUAGUAUGGGAAUGAUGCAUCGGGAAGA
rnacentral:misc_RNA from 1 species